AACGAACGCUGGCGGCAGGCCUAACACAUGCAAGUCGAACGCUGUAGCAAUACAGAGUGGCAGACGGGUGAGUAACGCGUGGGAACCUUCCCAGUGGUGCGGAAUAGCCCAGGGAAACUUGAGGUAAUACCGCAUAAGCCCCUAGGGGAAAGAUUUAUCGCCAUUGGAUGGGCCCGCGUCGGAUUAGCUAGUUGGUGAGGUAAUGGCUCACCAAGGCAACGAUCCGUAGCUGGUGAGAGAAGUGACCAGCCACACUGGGACUGAGACACGGCCCAGACUCCUACGGGAGG
rnacentral:rRNA from 1 species